AACCUCCGCAAUGUGAGAAAUCGCGACGGGGGGAUCCCAAGUGCCAUUCUUAACGGGAUGGCUUUUCAUUAGUGUAAAGAGCUUUUGGAAUAAGAGCUGGGCAAGACCGGUGCCAGCCGCCGCGGUAACACCGGCAGCUCUAGUGGUAACAAUUUUUAUUGGGCCUAAAGCGUCCGUAGCCGGUUUAAUAAGUCUCUGGUGAAAUCCUGUAGCUUAACUGUGGGAAUUGCUGGAGAUACUAUUAGACUUGAGACCGGGAGAGGUUAGAGGUACUCCCAGGGUAGAGGUGAAAUUCUGUAAUCCUGGGAGGACCGCCUGUUGCGAAGGCGUCUAACUGGAACGGUUCUGACGGUGAGGGACGAAAGUUAGGGGCGCGAACCGGAUUAGAUACCCGGGUAGUCCUAACUGUAACGAUGCGGACUUGGUGUUGGGGUGGCUUUGAGCUGCUCCAGUGCCGAAGGGAAGCUGUUAAGUCCGCCGCCUGGGAGUACGGUCGCAAGACUGAAACUUAAAGGAAUU
rnacentral:rRNA from 1 species